rnacentral:misc_RNA from 1 species
CGGCCAUCAAGCAAAUGUGCCUUAUAGAUAUCUUCAGGAGAUUUGGGCUCCAUGACCUCUAUAUCCCGAGCAAGGGUUAGAUAACCUUCACUUGACUUGGUGUUGUUGAUGAUUUCCUGCAAUGCUUCCCUGUCCUCAUCAUCUGCAGCCAUUUCAUCAUCAAGCUCGAAAGUAAUACCAUGUCGAGCAACUAUGUAACAGAAUUGCUUUUUUCGGAGCAAAUCAUCACAAACUGUAAAAACCUGCCUCACAUACUGCAUGUUAUCAAGGAAUAGUGCAAUCUGGAGUGCAUUUGAAUAUUCUUCAUAUUUGAGAUAUAUCAUAUAAGCGAUAUCAAGAACUAGCAUAUCAUCUGGUCCAGGAAGGUAUCU